rnacentral:lncRNA from 1 species
GACAAUGAAUUAAUGGAUUGGUUCCAUUUGAUUUGGCGUAUAAAACACGAGUAACGAAGUUAUGGCGAAAUUUACGAGAUUAGGCGAUAAUCGUUGAAAUCAUAGAACUCUCGGAUUAGUAGUCAAAACUUGUCGUUUAAUUCAGAAACCCUAGUUUUCGAUGGCGUAACAUAGACCAACGUAUUUAAGAGUCGUGGACUCAAGAAUGGUCGAAUUCCGACUUAGAACGAAGAAAACGAG